rnacentral:tRNA from 1 species
UCCCAAGUGACUCAGUGGUAGAGAAUCUGCCUGCCAGUGCAGAAGCGGCAGGAGAUUCAGGUUCGAUCCCUGGUUCGGGAA